GUAUGCGUUUUAAGUCUCUACACUGUAUUUAAACCUAAGCGGUCAGCAUGCGAGUCAUGGAAACUUAAUACCCAAUCAUUACUAAAAAUAUUAACCCAGACGAAGGCAUUACUAUAUAGCCCGGGAACUAUACUUGUUAUGGGAUAUAUGGUGGGAUAGGGCGGUUACAAACUAUCUCUCAGAUGACCUUCCAGAAUAGAAUAAGCUUGGAAAUGAUUUUAGCAGAAAAAGGGAGAGUAUGUAAAAUACUCCCAGACACCAUGACAUGCUGUACCUAUAUUCCAGAUAAUACAGGCCCUAAUGGUAAGGUAACGUUGGCAAUAGAAAAGUUAAAGAGUUUGUCCAAUGAACUGAAACGAAAUUCUGGGGCCACAGAUCCAUGGGAAAGAUGGUUUGGAUGGAUGUCUGAAUGGCAAGGUGCUCUGGCCCAAAUAGGUGUUGCCAUUUUAAUAACGAUAAUCAUCCUCGCUCUUCUUGUUUGUUGUGUGUUACCCUGUCUUAAGAAAUGCCUACAAAAAACAGUUGAUCAGGCAAUCGACCAGACCACCCCGACCUUCCUUCACCAAGAGAUUGACGAUAUCGACCGUGAUACACCACAUACACCCUUACAGUCCCACCGCACUAAAUCAACAG